GAUGAACGCUGGCGGCGUGCCUAAUACAUGCAAGUCGAGCGAACAGACGAGGAGCUUGCUCCUCUGACGUUAGCGGCGGACGGGUGAGUAACACGUGGAUAACCUACCUAUAAGACUGGGAUAACUUCGGGAAACCGGAGCUAAUACCGGAUAAUAUAUUGAACCGCAUGGUUCAAUAGUGAAAGACGGUUUUGCUGUCACUUAUAGAUGGAUCCGCGCCGCAUUAGCUAGUUGGUAAGGUAACGGCUUACCAAGGCGACGAUGCGUAGCCGACCUGAGAGGGUGAUCCGCCACACGGGAACUGAGACGCGGUCCAGACUCCUAGGGGGGGCAGCAGUAGGGAAUUUUCCGCAAUGGGCGAAAGCCUGACGGAGCAACGCCGGGUGGGUGAUGAAGGUCUUCGGAUCGUAAAACUCUGUUAUUAGGGAAAAACAAAUGUGUAAGUAACUAUGCCCGUCUUGACGGUACCUAAUCAGAAAGCCACGGCUAACUACGU
rnacentral:rRNA from 1 species